GACGAACGCUGGCGGCGUGCUUAACACAUGCAAGUCGAACGGAAAGGCCCUGCUUUUGUGGGGUGCUCGAGUGGCGAACGGGUGAGUAACACGUGAGUAACCUGCCCUUGACUUUGGGAUAACUUCAGGAAACUGGGGCUAAUACCGGAUAGGAGCUCCUGCUGCAUGGUGGGGGUUGGAAAGUUUCGGCGGUUGGGGAUGGACUCGCGGCUUAUCAGCUUGUUGGUGGGGUAGUGGCUUACCAAGGCUUUGACGGGUAGCCGGCCUGAGAGGGUGACCGGCCACAUUGGGACUGAGAUACGGCCCAGACUCCUACGGGAGGCAGCAGUGGGGAAUAUUGCACAAUGGGCGGAAGCCUGAUGCAGAAACGCCGCGUGCGGGAUGACGGCCUUCGGGUUGUAAACCGCUUUCGCCUGUGACGAAGCGUGAGUGACGGUAAUGGGAAAAGAAGCACCGGCUAACUACGUG
rnacentral:rRNA from 1 species